rnacentral:rRNA from 1 species
AUUGAACGCUGGCGGCAGGCCUAACACAUGCAAGUCGAGCGGAUGACGGGAGCUUGCUCCUGGAUUCAGCGGCGGACGGGUGAGUAAUGCCUAGGAAUCUGCCUGGUAGUGGGGGACAACGUUUCGAAAGGAACGCUAAUACCGCAUACGUCCUACGGAAGAAAGCAGGGGACCUUCGGGCCUUGCGCUAUCAGAUGAGCCUAGGUCGGAUUAGCUAGUUGGUGAGGUAAUGGCUCACCAAGGCGACGAUCCGUAACUGGUCUGAGAGGAUGAUCAGUCACACUGGAACUGAGACACGGUCCAGACUCCUACGGGAGGCAGCAGUGGGGAAUAUUGGACAAUGGGCGAAAGCCUGAUCCAGCCAUGCCGCGUGUGUGAAGAAGGUCUUCGGAUUGUAAAGCACUUUAAGUUGGGAGGAAGGGUUGUAGAUUAAUACUCUGCAAUUUUGACGUUACCGACAGAAUAAGCACCGGCUAACUCUGUGCCAGCAGCCGCAGUAACAC